rnacentral:lncRNA from 1 species
AACUGUGCAUGAGGAAGCUAUGCUUGCCAUUGGAGCUGUUGCCCAUGCAACUGGCCCAGAUUUUGCAAAGUACAUGCCUGAGCUUUACAAAUAUUUGGAAAUGGGUCUUCAAAAUUUUGAGGAGUAUCAGGUCUGUGCUGUCACUGUCGGUGUUGUGGGUGAUAUAUGCAGGGCGUUGGAUGACAAAGUACUGCCUUAUUGUGAUGGAAUAAUGACCCAGCUUCUGAAAGACCUUUCGAGCAAUCAGUUACACCGAUCUGUGAAACCUCCUAUCUUUUCAUGCUUUGGUGACAUAGCUCUGGCUAUAGGAGAGAAUUUUGAAAAGUACUUGAUGUAUGCCAUGCCUAUGCUCCAGAGCGCAGCCGAAUUGUCUGCCCACACAUCAGGCGCUGAUGACGAAAUGAUUGAGUAUACCAAUCUGUUGAGGAAUGGAAUCUUAGAGGCAUACUCAGGGAUAUUUCAGGGAUUUAAGAACUCUCCUAAAAC